rnacentral:tRNA from 1 species
AAAGCUUUAAGUUAAUUUAAACUAUUAACCUUCAAAGUUAUAAAUAUCUCUUAGAUAAGCUUUA